rnacentral:rRNA from 1 species
CACGUAGGCACCAAGCGUUGUCCGGAUUUAUUGGGCGUAAAGAGCUCGUAGGCGGUUUGUCGCGUCGUCUGUGAAAUCCCGCAGCUCAACUGCGGGCUUGCAGGCGAUACGGGCAGACUUGAGUACUGCAGGGGAGACUGGAAUUCCUGGUGUAGCGGUGAAAUGCGCAGAUAUCAGGAGGAACACCGGUGGCGAAGGCGGGUCUCUGGGCAGUAACUGACGCUGAGGAGCGAAAGCGUGGGGAGCGAACAGG